rnacentral:rRNA from 1 species
AACGAACGCUGGCGGCAGGCUUAACACAUGCAAGUCGAACGCCCCGCAAGGGGAGUGCCGCACGGGUGAGUAACGCGUGGGAAUAUGCCCUUCGGUUCGGAAUAACACAGGGAAACUUGUGCUAAUACCGGAUACGAUCUACGGAUGAAAGAUUCAUCGCCGAGGGAGUAGCCCGCGUCAGAUUAGCUAGUUGGUGGGGUAAUGGCCUACCAAGGCGACGAUCUGUAGCUGGUCUGAGAGGAUGAUCAGCCACACUGGGACGGAGACGCGGCCCAGACUCCUACGGGAGGCAGCAGUGGGGAAUAUUGGACAAUGGGGGAAACCCUGAUCCAGCCAUGCCGCGUGAGUGAUGAAGGUCUUAGGGUUGUAAAGCUCUUUCGUCGGGGAAGAUAAUGACGGUACCCGAAGAAGAAGCCUCGGCUAACUCCGUGCCAGCCGCCGCGGUAAUAC